GUUCUUGCCUGUUUAACUUUACGGUGUCUCUUUGGAGCCUCCUUUCUCCUCUAUAGUGCAAGUUCCUUCAGGACUGGAAUGCAGUUCUCUCAUCUUUUUGUCUUGAGUGCCUGAUACUGUGCCUGGCAUAUAACAGGUGCUUGGGAACAGAUGUAGGUGGAAUGAAUGAAUAAAUCAAUGUAGACAGACAAUCUGGAAGUUCAUCAGGCAAAGAGACAUUUUCCCUCUUUCAGUUAUAUAAUGUAGUUAUGGGGUCCCUGACACUUUUUCUUACUUUUUUUUAACUGAAAAACUCCUCUCCUUUCAUGUUUACUCACUAAAACACUGGAUAAGUGUUUGCUGCACAUUUGCAAGAGGGUUUGAGUCCAACAUCCACACUCUGGUGUCCUGCCUUGUUCUAUUUUACUUUCCUUUGCCAUUGCCAAAACGAAUAUCCAUUGAUGGGAUUUCUAGUAUUCAUCACAUGCAGCCACCAGAUGGAUCUGAAUAGUUUCUCUAACAACCAAUUUGCAUUUGGACUCGGCUUCCAAAAUGCCUUCCCAUUAUAGCAUCCAUUUGCCCUCCACACACUCCGACAUCUUCCACUCUGUUCUAAAGGCCACACCUCUAAUUUUGGAAAUCGCGGUUCGAUUUGGUACAACUGAGCUGCACCAAGUUAAAACAAGAAUUGUAUUUUUUUUUUUUUUGCCAAAUCAUGACUUGCUCAUAUAUUUCAACUUCUUACCAUGUAAUCUAACAAAAUGUUCAUUGUCAUCACCCUUUGAAGAGUCUCCAAGGUAUUUUUGCAAGACUGAUUUUUUUCCCCCACUGUCCCUAAGGCUUCAUCUUUAAGUUGUAUUGACCAGUGUGCAUGGUUCUUGAGCUAAGAUCUUCUUGUUAAGGUUGUCAUGCAUAUUUGGGGCUCUGUUAGGUUUCACAAACUCAAAUGAAGAGUAAGUAAUAAAUUCAUAGAGGAAAUUGGGUUAGCAUGUGAUUAACAUCCCGGCUGAUGCAGACGGGUGUACCAAUGAUGGAAACAUGUGCUUGUAUCAUGAUGAAAUGCAGAUUAGAGACCCUGGAGCCAACCCAAGGAUAUCUGCCCAAAACUGUUUCAUCUCUGUCAGCUUUAAUCUGAUCGAAAGAGAGCAUGCUCCAAUGCAGUGAGAAAAAUGUGAACUCCUUAAAUAACCAAGUGGCAUUCUGUUUUCCAUUUCGAUGCUAUUAAAAUACUCACUUUUCAUUUGGGGUAUAGUAGGGAGUAUACUAACUACAACUUAGAGAACUUGAAUUCAAAUCUCAUCUCAGCCAUUAACUUAGGCUCUGAAAUCUCACUGGGCCUUAGUUUCUGCAUCUGUAAAAUGAAUGUGGUGAACUGGACUAAUGGUUUUCAAUAGUUUCUUCUUCAUAAUGGCAAAUGAUACUCGCAUACUCCCUUGGGCAUCCCCACGGCUGUGCACAAAUUACCCACAUACCCACGGUUAUAGCUCUCCUCUUUCCUCCUGCUCAAGUAAGCAUAUCGGAAAGCACCUGAGUAAGACUGAUGUUUCAGGAUAACCCUCAAUCCUGUUCUGUCUAAUUUAUUUUAAAAAUUAAAAAUCAUAUAAUUUGGAAACUUGAGCAUAUCAUUAUUAAUGUUUCAAAAGUGAUUUGCUACAAAAUUCCCAAUAGAUCUGUCACAAAACUCAAUUUCAACAGUUUCUUGUGAUGCAGUCAUUUUGUGUCCCUGUGAGUUAAUCAAGGUGCCAGCAGAAAAGAGUCCACAAUAUUGAGUCUUUAACUAUUUGGAAUCAAAAGAAUGAAGAAUAUAUUUUAGUUGGUAGUCUUCACUUUGGUGGGUAUUUUCAUUGUCCCUUGGAGAAGUGCUUGUGGCACUAGUGACAUUUUGGUUGUUAUGUUGGCCUGUUAGGCAAAGCUAUGUUUCUAAAAUGAGGUAAUACUAUCAUCACUUGAAAAUAAGAAGGAAUACUUUUUAAGAACUGAAACUAUAUAGUACUUGAUUAAACCAGUAGCAAAUCAUGUUUUAGUGUGUCUCAUUGUGAAAACUUUAUCUUCAGGGGAAAUAAAAAACAAAAGUUUGUAUGAUGGUGGCUAUUAAGUUUUUGAAAAAUACAGAAAAGGAUUUAAGAUGACAGUUAUCAAAGAACCAUUAAGUGUAAAAAAUGACCUCUGCAAUUUUUCAUCUCCAACGAUAAGGUGGUUUAGAUAGCCCAAAGAGUUUUACACUAUCAAAUACCUGAAUAAAUAAACAUUGUAAGUGUAACACUAAGCUUACAAGAAAUAAAGGGAAACUAUAAGAGUUCUGAAACAAACAAACAAAUUAACCAGAAAUCAAAACUAGCAAGUUGGAAUGGUAACAAUAAAGCUGUGGGGUGCAGAGAAAGUUUAACAAUACCAAUAAUGUGGGAUGUAGGUUUUAAGUCCACAUUGGGAAAAAAGACUAGUACUUAGGCUUUCUAUGUUUAUACUGAGAAAAUCCUCAUAAAGUUGACUUUAUAUCAAAGAAUGAAUUAAGUAAAAUCUAUUAACCUAUCCGCAUAGAAAAACAAUACUAAGGUUUGUACAACUUGUUUUGAGUUAUGGAUGGUGGGGAAAAAAAUAGCUUUAAUUUGCAUGGAGUUAGAUUGGAGACCUUAAAUGUAUAUUAUUUCAUAGUAUGAAACUCUAAACCAAAGUGAAAUUGACUGUGGGAUACUUGGCAGAAGUAAAUAGAAAAUUUCUAGAGAGAUACAUCUCCAGCCUAGUUUCCUAAGAAUCUCAUAGAGGAAUAUGAUGAAGAAAUCAAAAUCCAGAAUUGCAAAAACAUGCAAGGAAUCACAUUACUAUAAAUGAGAGUUAACUAGUACCAAACAACAAGAUUAAACACUUAAGAACUUCAAGUGAUAUAAAGAUUGAAUAGAGACUUAUAAAAGAGGAUGUUUAAAUUAAUGCAAUCAUGGGAGUUCCCUUGUGGUUCAGUAGGUUAAGGAUCCAGCAUUGCCAAUGCUGCAACUUGGGUUGCUGCUGUGGCAUGGCUCAAUCCCUGGCCCAGGAACUUCCACAUGCUGUGGGUUGUCCAAAAGAAGAAAAAAUUAAUAAAUUAAUACAAUCAUAUAAAGGAAUUAGAAAUAUUGAAAAAAUAAUAAGGACACAUGAAAAAAGAAAAUUAAAAUAUUUGGAAUUAUCUAAGGGAAUUUAUACAAAUGAAGGACAUGGUCCUUAAAAUAAACUCAAUAAAUGUAUUAAACAGUAGUGUAGACAUAGUUGAAAAUAUAACACAUUGACUGGAGCACAGAAAUACCUGCAUUGCAUAAAGAGAAAUAAAGAGGUUAAAAAAAUAAGUAAGAAUAAAAAGUAGUUAUGGACAAAGGGCAAAAAUUUCCAACUUAUAAGUUAAUGGAUUUUCUAGGAUGAUAAAAC
rnacentral:lncRNA from 1 species